rnacentral:rRNA from 1 species
UACGAAGGGGGCUAGCGUUGUUCGGAAUUACUGGGCGUAAAGCGCACGUAGGCGGACAUUUAAGUCAGGGGUGAAAUCCCGGAGCUCAACUCCGGAACUGCCUUUGAUACUGGGUGUCUUGAGUGUGGAAGAGGUGAGUGGAAUUCCGAGUGUAGAGGUGAAAUUCGUAGAUAUUCGCAAGAACACCAGUGGCGAAGGCGGCUCACUGGCCCGGUACUGACGCUGAGGCACGAAAGCGUGGGGAGCAAACAGG